AGGCCGGGCCCGGGCUCGGUCCCCCGCUCCCUCCUCUCCCCACCCCGGUCGGGUACCGGAAGGUCCAAGCCGCUGCCGGGUGCCCGAGGGCCAUCGUGGCCGCCGCCACGGGUCCUGAUGGAGCCGCCGAAUCUCUAUCCGGUGAAGCUCUACGUGUACGACCUGUCCAAGGGCCUGGCCCGCCGGCUCAGCCCCAUCAUGCUGGGCCAGGCCACCCUGCCUCGCCACAGGCCUGCUGGCUGCCCACUGUUCCAUCACCACACCUGCCCUCUGCCCUGCAGAAGCUCAGUCUUCACGGUUUGCACAGACUGUUCUCUCUGGCAGAUACGCCCAGCUUUGCCCCUGCUCGCUCCUUCAUUGGUUGAAUUCAGGCUCUUGAAGGGAAACAACUGGAAGGAAUCUGGCAUACCUCUAUAGUUGUACACAAGGAUGAGUUCUUCUUCGGCAGCAGCGGUAUUUCCAGCUGUACCCCGGGAGGGACAUUGCUUGGGCCCCCAGACUCUGUGGUUGAUGUGGGGAAUACAGAAGUCACAGAAGAAAUCUUUCUGGAAUACCUGUCCUCCCUGGGGGAGUCUCUGUUCCGAGGAGAAGCCUACAACCUCUUUGAACACAACUGUAACACCUUUAGCAAUGAAGUGGCACAGUUCCUGACUGGGCGGAAGAUCCCUUCUUACAUCACCGACCUGCCCUCAGAAGUUCUC
rnacentral:lncRNA from 1 species